rnacentral:lncRNA from 1 species
UCCCGGCGCCUCAGGCAGCUGCAGCAGCUUCGAAGCGGCUGCCACCGCACCUGGGCAGUCUGGACCCUCGUGCCCUGCUCCCGGGGCCUCGCGCGGUGAGCGCCCCGGGACACCCCUGCGGGCCGGGUGGAGGAGGAGAAAGAAGAAUAAGAGGAAGACGUGGACCAGGAUCCCCAACCUCCCCACAACACCUGGCCUCUCCGCUUCCACUUCUUUCACACGAGGAGAGAGGAGCCAGCGAGAGCCAUGGGGGGCUGCGAAGUCCGAGAAUUUCUUUGGCAAUUUGGAUUCUUUUUGCCUCUGAGGACAGCUUGGCCGGGCUACUGUAGUCACGUCUCCAACAACCAAGUUGUGUUGCUUGAUACAACUACUGUGCUGGGUGAACUAGGAUGGAAGACGUAUCCAUUAAAUGGGGUGAGUUUAAGUGUGUUAAAAUUCUCAUCCUCUUUAGGUUUUAGGACUUGG